rnacentral:rRNA from 1 species
UACAGAGGGUGCUAGCGUUGUUCGGAAUCAUUGGGCGUAAAGGGCGUGUAGGCGGUUUGUUAAGUCAUGUGUGAAAUCCCUCGGCUCAACCGGGGAAGGACGCAUGAAACUGGCAAGCUAGAGUACCAAAGAGGGGGGUGGAAUUCCCGGUGUAGCGGUGAAAUGCGUAGAUAUCAGGAGGAACACCGGUGGCGAAGGCGGGUCUCUGGGCCGAUACUGACGCUGAGGAGCGAAAGCGUGGGGAGCGAACAGG